rnacentral:rRNA from 1 species
GGAGUCUAGCAUGUGCGCGAGUCAUUGGGACUCUGAAACUAAACCUAAAGGCGAAAUGAAAGUGAAGGCGCGCCUCAAGCGCGCGCCGAGGGAGGAUGAGCGCGUCGUCCGAAAGGCCGUGCGCGCUCCGCACUCCCGGGGCGUCUCGUUCUCAUCGCGAGAUGAGGCGCACCCAGAGCGUACACGCUGGGACCCGAAAGAUGGUGAACUAUGCCUGGUCAGGACGAAGUCAGGGGAAACCCUGAUGGAGGUCCGUAGCGAUUCUGACGUGCAAAUCGAUCGUCGGAACUGGGUAUAGGGGCGAAAGACUAAUCGAACCAUCUAGUAGCUGGUUCCCUCCGAAGUUUCCCUCAGGAUAGCUGGCGCUCGUCGAGCGCGAGUCUCAUCCGGUAAAGCGAAUGAUUAGAGGCAUUGGGGUCGAAACGGCCUCAACCUAUUCUCAAACUUUAAAUGGGUGAGAUCUCCGGCUUGCUUGAAGCAUGAAGCCGCGAGAUCGGAUCUAGAGUGCCAAGUGGGCCACUUUUGGUAAGCAGAACUGGCGCUGUGGGAUGAACCAAACGCGGAGUUAAAGCGCCUAAAUCGACGCUUAUGGGAUACCAUGAAAGGCGUUGGUAACUUAAGACAGCAGGACGGUGGCCAUGGAA